rnacentral:misc_RNA from 1 species
GAUGAAGAACGUAGCAAAAUGCGAUAAGUAAUGUGAAUUGCAGAAUUCAGUGAAUCAUCGAAUCUUUGAACGCACAUUGCGCCCGCUGGUAUUCCGGCGGGCAUGCCUGUUCGAGCGUCAUUUCAACCCUCAAGCCCCCGGGUUUGGUGUUGGGGAUCGGCUCUGCCUUCUGGCGGUGCCGCCCCCGAAAUACAUUGGCGGACUCGCUGCAGCCUCCAUUGCGUAGUAGCUAACACCUCGCAACUGGAACGCGGCGCGGCCAUGCCGUAAAACCCCAACUUCUGAAUGUUGACCUCGGAUCAGGUAGGAAUACCCGCUGAACUUAAGCAUAUCAAUAAGCGGAGGA